ACAGUUUGCCCACUGGACAGACACAGCAAAGGCCAUCCUGCGAGGUGAGGUGCCACCAGUGUUCCGUCUGAAGAAGCAGAAAAUGGAUGACGUCACUGAGGGAGAGGAUCAAGUACACCCUGUUUUGCAGCCUCCCGAAGCUAGGGAUGAAAAAGAUGUUGAGAUGAAAGUCAGCAGAGUGGGUGGAAACAAACCAACAUUUGUUUUCAUCCAAGGUGGAGUUGCCC